AUGCAAAUCCUCCCCUUCUUUGUCUCAGUUUGUUAUAACCGUAGAUCAAUUCCAACAGUCAUGGCUGCGAGCGUGACAUACCAGAGUGGUCUGAGACCACCUGGUGGCUUGUGGCAGGAGGACAACGCCGCCUACUCCGCCGGCAACCCGGUCCUACACGACAUCAACAAGCGCCGGUACGACGUCUUCUUGUACAGCAACUCUGUUUCGUUCAUGGCGUCCAUCGUUGCCAUUGUCAUGCUGCUCCCAUUGACGCUGAGCAACCUCAAGUGGAAGCCGUCUUCAGAUGGCCACUCUGGCCGGUACACACGGCCAUUUCGCUGGACAUGGCAGGCCUCCUGGUGGCCUACGCAGCAGGAAGUACCAGGAAGUGGGAGUCGUCCAUGA
rnacentral:rRNA from 1 species